rnacentral:rRNA from 1 species
UAACACGUGGGUGAUCUGCCCCUGACUUUGGGAUAAGCCUGGGAAACUGGGUCUAAUACCGAAUAUUCAUUUUUCCUCGCAUGGGGAUUUGUGGAAAGCUUUUGCGGUUGGGGAUGGGCCCGCGGCCUAUCAGCUUGUUGGUGGGGUAAUGGCCUACCAAGGCGACGACGGGUAGCCGACCUGAGAGGGUGAUCGGCCACACUGGGACUGAGACACGGCCCAGACUCCUACGGGAGGCAGCAGUGGGGAAUAUUGCACAAUGGGCGCAAGCCUGAUGCAGCGACGCCGCGUGAGGGAUGACGGCCUUCGGGUUGUAAACCUCUUUCAGCUCCGACGAAGCGCAAGUGACGGUAGGAGCAGAAGAAGCACCGGCCAACUACGUGCCAGCAGCCGCGGUAAUACGUAGGGUGCAAGCGUUGUCCGGAAUUACUGGGCGUAAAGAGCUCGUAGGCGGUUUGUCGCGUCGUCUGUGAAAUUCUGCAGCUUAACUGCAGGCGUGCAGGCGAUACGGGCAGACUUGAGUACUACAGGGGAGACUGGAAUUCCUGGUGUAGCGGUGAAAUGCGCAGAUAUCAGGAGGAACACCGGUGGCGAAGGCGGGUCUCUGGGUAGUAACUGACGCUGAGGAGCGAAAGCGUGGGUAGCGAACAGGAUUAGAUACCCUGGUAGUCCACGCCGUAAACGGUGGGUACUAGGGUGU